UACAUUUAUUUAAUCAAAACUACAGUAAUAAAUACAUAAAAGUAAAAUGCAUAGUAGGCUAAUAUUGCAAAAUAUUAUUACAAAUAAAAUAACUGUUUUCUAUGUGAAUAUAUAGUAAAAUGUGAUUUAUUCAUGUGAUCAAAGCUGAAUUUUCAGCAUCAUUACUCCAGUCUUCAGUGUCACAGAUCCUUCAGAAAUCAUUCUAAUAUGAUGAUUUGAUGCUCAAAAACAUUUCUAAUUAUUAUCAGUGUUGAAAACAGUUUAACAUUUUUGUGGAAACAAUGAUAUAACAUUUGUGGUAAGAUUAAGAAAGACAGAACUUAAUAUUUUUUAUUCAUCAAGGAUGCAUUAAAUUGAUCACAAAAGUGACCGUGAAGACAUUUAGGUAUAAAGUUACAAUAUAUUUAAAUUCAAUAAAUGCUUUAAUAAUAAUAAUAAUAAUAAUAAAUAUCAUUGUUACAAAAUAAUAAUAAAGCAAACACUGUUUUCUACAUUGAUAAAUUGUAAUAUUUAACAAUUUUACUGUAGUUUUCAUGAAAUGCAGCCUUGGUGAGCAUAACAGACUUAUAAAAUUAUAAUGUUUCAAAACUUUUACUAUAUUAUUUGUCACAUUAGGAUAAAAAAAUAAAAAAUAAAAAAAAAUACUUGACUGCUGCCAUAAAUGGGCAAAUGAACUUAGUAAAAGCCUAUAUGGGAGACCAGAGCAAAUAAAAUUAAUAUUUUCCAUUACAUAUAAAAAUAUAUAAAUAAAUAAAAACGCUCCCACGAGUUUACUAUUUAAAGAAUAAAUAUUCAAUUCAAUUCAAUUCACAUUUAUUUGUAUAGCGCUUUUCACAAUACAUAUCGUUUCAAAGCAGCUUUACAGAGAAUGCAUGUCAACAUUACAAUUUGGAGAAUGCAGUUAGCUAAUAAUGUAAUAAUUUAGGCGAUUAAUAUACAAUCACUGUUAGCAAUUUAAUUGAAGGUAGAAGCAAAGAGCUCCUGGAAAAAUGAAUUACAUGUUAACAAUAAUUAGGAUUUAUAGAAUGUGAAUGUGUGUGUUGAUCCAGAUGUUGCAUCUUCUGAAGUCAUCGCAGGAGUUGGUGCCGUCUCUUCCAAAGUUUUAGUCAUCUGAGGUCUUCUUAAGAGUCUGGAUCCAAACUGAAACUGAUGUACUCUCUAAGCAAAUGGAGAAUAAUUAGCAUAGCUGCUGUUCAUAACAUUAAGCAAAGAUAGUCAUGUGCAAUUGAUCUGAUAUGAGAUGGAUUAUGUGAAUGCUUGGCUAAAGAGAUGUGUCUUUAAUCUAGAUUUAAACUGGGUGAGCGAGUCUGAGCCCUGAACAUUAUCAGGAAGGCUAUUCCAGAGUUUAGGAGCCAAAUGUAAAAACGCUCUCCCUCCUUUAGAGGACUUAGCUAUCCUAGGUACAACCAGAAGUCCAGAGUUUUGUGAUCUUAAAGAGCGUGAAGGAUUGUAGGGCGAUAAAAGAUCGGUUAAGUACACAGGAGCUAAACCAUUUAGAGCCUUAUAGGUCAUUAGCAGUACUUUAUAAUCGAUACGGAACUUAAUAGGUAACCAGUGAAGAGAUGAUAAAAUUGGUGUUAUAUGAUCAUAUUUUCUUGACCUGGUAAGAACUCUAGAAGCUGCAUUUUGUACCAAUUGUAGCUUGUUUAUUGAGGAAGCAGGACAACCAGCUAGUAAUGCAUUACAGUAAUCUAGUCUAGACGUCAUAAAAGCAUGAACUAACUUUUCUGCAUCAGAAACAGAUAACAUAUUCCGUAUCUUAGCAAUGUUUCUGAGGUGGAAGAAGGCUGUUUUUGUAACAUAUGAAAUAUGAUUUUCAAAGGACAAGUUGCUGUCUAAUAUAACACCCAGGUCUUUAAUAUGGAUUAUGUCAGUCAGAAGAAACUUGUAGGCCCUAUAAUUUAUUUAUAUAUUUAAUUAUUUAUUUAUUGCGCAAGGUAUGAAAAAUGUACUCCUUAGAGUAUUUAAAAAAAAAGAAGAAUAAAAUUGAUAAAAAACGUAUAAAAAUAUACUUUGCUAUUUUACACCUCGCGUGCAAAGCCCGUGAAAGAACCUGGCAGCGGGUAAAAAAGCUGGGGUCUGCGGCAUCGCGCGCACAGCCCGACGACUACAUCUGUGGACAUCGCCCGACUGACAAGUUUCCUGAGUGACUAAAAUACAACCCAACGGCUCUUUUGAGAGCAAAAGCAUUGAGCAUCUUUGGCUUUUUAUUCUGUUUCUUGUGUGAUCUGUCUUUGGCUGAUAUUGGCAAAAAAGUAAGUAUUAUAAAAUGUUAUUCUCUAUAUUUUAAAAGUAAUGCAAAACAUUAUAACAUAAUUAUAAAAAACUUAGUGGCAUAUUACAGAAAAAGCCUUACUUCAGAAUCCUAUCUUAUCGGUUUAGUAAUCAUGGCAAUUUCAGUUAGGAGCUCAUGUAGGACAAACACUAUAGCAGAACAACAUUUCCAAAGAGCAUUAAAGGGUUACUUACCCCCAAAAUGAAAUUUCUGUCAUACUCACCCUUAUGUUGUUCCACACCCGUAAGACUUUCGCUCAUCUUCGGAACACAAAUGAAGAUCUACAAAUAGAUUUAAUUUAGACUUUUACUUGCACGAAAACAUUGAUCAGCGAACAUAAGCAGAAGCUCAACCGAACCUGAAUAACGCACAAGAACAAACCUCUUUCAGAAGCUCAAACGUGCUGCAUAACCAUGCGAGUAAAAGCCUCAUAACAAGCCUCAUAACAUAUUUCUCUUCAGAAAAUUUGGACUAAACCAUUUGAUUCAUUUGGAUUAGUUUUUCAAGUUCUUUAUGAACUUUUUGAAGUGUCAAAGUGUCAGUUGCAAAGGCAGUCUAUGAAAGGAAAUCUGACAGCAUUCUGUAAUGAAAAAUAUCUUUAUUUGUGUCUGAAGAUGAACGAAAGUCUUACGGGUGUGUAACGACAUGAGGGUGAGUAAUGAUAGAGUUUUCAUUUUGGAGUGAACCGACACUUUAACUUAAUCUUAGAAAAACUGUAGCAUACAGAAGCAUCCAACCUUUACAAAAAAUCCUAAAAAGUGGCUUUAUAACCCUUUAUAACCCCACUGGUAUCCAAACUUAAAACUAAAAGCCAACUUAACAAUUACAAUACAGUAGCCAACAUAAGAUGGACAGUUUCUGUAAUACACCCACUGGGUUUCAAAUUCUCAAACUAAAGGUGAUGAUACACAGGGCAACUUUCUGAACAAUGGUGCCAAAAGUAUCCAUAUAGAAAUUUGUUGCCCAUUCUCAAUGGGAAAGUGCCCAAGCAACAUUGCUCAAAAAGUUGCCUGUGUAUUAUCAUCUUAAGGCUGGCCUUUUUUAUUCACAGGGAGGAUAUGAACAUACCAAAUACACACAUAAAAAUAUUUUUUUUAUGUUUUGUUUUUUUCUUUCAAUUUCUGUACUGAUUUUUUAGUUUCAAAUAUUUGCAAUAGGCUUGCCACGAUAUAAUACCGGUUUUACUGGUUAUGAGGGACAAUACUGGCUGAGAUGGGAGCAAGUCACCCAUGUUAGAGUCAAAACCAAGUCCUUACCAUCAAGUCUCAAGUCCCAGUGCACAAAAAAGUCGGUUCCUGCUAAGGAUCAAGUCAAAUCACAGAAAGAAGUUAUGUGGGCACUUCCGAGCUUGUGUUAGAAUGUGCUGUAUGAUUUCUUGCUUGCAGCCUUGCACAUAAAUGUUUGUUAUAUUAUUCAUACACUUGUAUUCAUAUUAUUCAACACUAAAUAAGUGUCUUUAUAGAAAUAAAAUGUAUUUUAUCUAUAGAGGCAAAUAUAAUUGUCCCUUCAUUUUAUAUGGACAGCGAUAUAUGUAAACAUGUCUGGGGACUAUGUUUUCAAUAUUGGGAUAUACCAACAUACCAAAUAAUAAAAUUAGUAAUAAAAAUUA